UCCUUCAUGAUAACAGAUCCAAAAGCAAACAUGACUUUAAUAGCCAUCAUUAUUUGGACACUCACAACCUGCACCUGGAGUUCUGUGGGGCAAAUUCUGACUCAAUCUGAAGAUCAAACAGUGAAGCCUGAUCAGACUGUCACUAUUCACUGUAAUCAUAAACCAGCAGUAAACCGUUUUAAAACAGAGCGAGCUUCAGGUGUUUCUUCUAGAUUCAGUGGCAGUGAAAGUGGAAACCACAUGGAUUUUACUCUGACCAUCAGUGGAGUCCAGCCUGAAGAUUCAGGAGUUUAUUACUGUCAGAGUCUAUAUAACAAGGGAGUCUCUGGCACCACAGACUUGGUGUUCACACAGUGUAAAAGCAUCAUACAAAAACCUACUUGUGUGAGACUGCAGCGUUGCAGCUUUGAGCUUCUGCAGAUGUUGAUGUUGAAGAUCCUUAUUCACCUCACUGACUUUACACACAAACACACACAUACACAGAGAUUCUUUAAGGCUGAUGAACUCCCAUUGAUUCUAUGA